AGUGAACGCUGGCGGUAGGCCUAACACAUGCAAGUCGAACGGCAGCACAGUAAGAGCUUGCUCUUACGGGUGGCGAGUGGCGGACGGGUGCGGAAUACAUCUGAAUCUACUUUUUCGUGGGGGAUAACGUAGGGAAACUUACGCUAAUACCGCAUACGACCUACGGGUGAAAGCAGGGGAUCUUCGGACCUUGCGCGAUUGAAUGAGCCGAUGUCGGAUUAGCUAGUUGGCGGGGUAAAGGCCCACCAAGGCGACGAUCCGUAGCUGGUCUGAGAGGAUGAUCAGCCACACUGGAACUGAGACACGGUCCAGACUCCUACGGGAGGCAGCAGUGGGGAAUAUUGGACAAUGGGCGCAAGCCUGAUCCAGCCAUACCGCGUAGGUGAAGAAGGCCUUCGGGUUGUAAAGCCCUUUUGUUGGGAAAGAAAAGCAGCAGGUUAAUACCCCGCUGUUCUGACGGUACCCAAAGAAUAAGCACCGGCUAACUUCGUG
rnacentral:rRNA from 1 species